rnacentral:rRNA from 1 species
CACGUAGGGCGCGAGCGUUGUCCGGAAUUAUUGGGCGGAAAGAGCUCGUAGGCGGCCUGUUGCGUCCGCUGUGAAAGCCCGGGGCUUAACCCCGGGUCUGCAGUGGAUACGGGCAGGCUAGAGGUAGGUAGGGGAGAAUGGAAUUCCCGGUGUAGCGGUGAAAUGCGCAGAUAUCGGGAGGAACACCGGUGGCGAAGGCGGUUCUCUGGGCCUUACCUGACGCUGAGGAGCGAAAGCGUGGGGAGCGAACAGG